CUCGUAGGCGGCCAACUAAGUCAGACGUGAAAUCCCUCAGCUUAACUGGGGAACUGCGUCUGAUACUGGAUGGCUUGGAUUCGGGAGAGGGAUGCGGAAUUCCAGGUGUAGCGGUGAAAUGCGUAGAUAUCUGGAGGAACACCGGUGGCGAAGGCGGCAUCCUGGACCGAUAUUGACGCUGAGGAGCGAAAGCCAGGGGAGCAAACA
rnacentral:rRNA from 1 species